GCGCGCUUAGCUCAGUGGUAGAGCACAUCCUUCACACGGAUGGGGUCGCAGGUUCGAACCCUGCAGCGCGCACCA
rnacentral:tRNA from 10 species